UUCCCCUAGUAACGGCGAGUGAAGAGGGAUAAGCUCAAAAUUAGAAUCUGGUAGUCUGUUUGGCUAUCCGAAUUGUAGUCUAUAGAGGUGUUUUCUGCGCUGGACUGUGUACAAGUCUCCUGGAUAUGGAACAUCAUAGAGGGUGAGAAUCCCGUACUCGACACAGACCCCCCAGUGCUAUAUGAUACACUCUCAACGAGUCGAGUUGUUUGGGAUUGCAGCUCAAAGUGGGAGGUAAAUUCCUUCUAAAGCUAAAUACAGGCGAGAGACCGAUAGCGAACAAGUACCGUAAGGGAAAGAUGAAAAGCACUUUGGAGAGAGAGUCAAACAGUACGUGAAAUUGUUAAAAGGGAAACGAUUGAAGUCAGUCACGUCUAGUCUGGAAUCAGCCCUUACUUCGGUUCGGCGCAUUUCCUUAUAGACGGGUCAGUGUCCAUGUUGGACUGUCGGAGAAAACUUUAGGGAAGGUGACUCUUCGGAGUGUUAUAGCCCUAAUCUAUAUACGGUGGUUAAUAUGGAGUGAUACAGCACACUUCGGUGGUGCUUGUACUGGCAUAAUGGCUUUAAGCGACCCGUCUUGAAACACGGACCAAGGAGUCUAACAUGUCUGCGAGUAUUUGGGUGAUAAACCUAAUUGCAUAACGAAAGUGAUAGCUGGGAAUCCUUAAUCGAUUAAGAGAGGCACUAGCACCCCGAGUGGAUCUCUAAUCAAGUGACACGUCGGAGGUAGAGCAUAUAUGUUGGGACCCGAAAGAUGGUGAACUAUGCCUGAAUAGGGCGAAGCCAGAGGAAACUCUGGUGGAGGCUCGUAGCGAUUCUGACGUGCAAAUCGAUCGUCAAAUUUGGGUAUAGGGGCGAAAGACUAAUCGAACCAU
rnacentral:rRNA from 1 species